CCUACGGGGGGCUGCAGUGAGGAAUAUUGGUCAAUGGCCGGAAGGCUGAACCAGCCAAGCCGCGUGAAGGACGAAGGUGCCAAGCAUUGUAAACUUCUUUUGUCAAGGGACAAAAUCAGGCUCGAGAGCCUGACCGAGGGUACUUGAAGAAAAAGCAUCGGCUAACUCCGUGCCAGCAGCCGCGGUAAUACGGAGGAUGCGAGCGUUAUCCGGAUUUAUUGGGUUUAAAGGGUGCGUAGGCGGACUGUUAAGUCAGCGGUAAAAGCCCGGGGCUCAACCCCGGCGAGCCGUUGAAACUGGCUGUCGUGAGAUGGCGAGAGGUAUGCGGAAUGCGCAGUGUAGCGGUGAAAUGCUUAGAUAGUGCGCAGAACUCCGAUUGCGAAGGCAGCAUACCGGCGGCGAUCUGACGCUGAGGCACGAAAGCGUGGGGAUCGAACAGGAUUAGAUACCCUUGUAGUC
rnacentral:rRNA from 1 species